AGAACGAACGCUGGCGGCAGGCUUAACACAUGCAAGUCGAGCGCCCCGCAAGGGGAGCGGCAGACGGGUGAGUAACGCGUGGGAACAUACCCUCCGGUUCGGAAUAGCUCAGGGAAACUUGGAUUAAUACCGGAUACGGCCUAGCGGCGAAAGAUUCAUCGCCGGAGGAUUGGCCCGCGUUCGAUUAGCUAGUUGGUGAGGUAACGGCUCACCAAGGCGACGAUCGAUAGCUGGUCUGAGAGGAUGAUCAGCCACAUUGGGACUGAGACACGGCCCAAACUCCUACGGGAGGCAGCAGUGGGGAAUAUUGGACAAUGGCGCAAGCCUGAUCCAGCCAUGCCGCGUGAGUGAUGACGGCCUUAGGGUUGUAAAGCUCUUUCGCUAGGGACGAUAAUGACGGUACCUAGACAAGAAGCCCGGCUAACUUCGUGCCAGCAGCCGC
rnacentral:rRNA from 1 species